rnacentral:rRNA from 1 species
CAGUCGCCGCGGUAAUACGUAGGUGGCAAGCGUUGUCCGGAAUUAUUGGGCGUAAAGGGCUCGCAGGCGGUUUCUUCAGUCUGAUGUGAAAGCCCCCGGCUCAACCGGGGAGGGUCAUUGGAAACUGGGAAACUUGAGUGCAGAAGAGGAGAGUGGAAUUCCACGUGUAGCGGUGAAAUGCGUAGAGAUGUGGAGGAACACCAGUGGCGAAGGCGACUCUCUGGUCUGUAACUGACGCUGAGGAGCGAAAGCGUGGGGAGCGAACAGGAUUAGAUACCCGCGUAGUCCCUGUCUCUUAUAU